rnacentral:rRNA from 1 species
CCUACGGGAGGCAGCAGUGGGGAAUAUUGGACAAUGGGCGAAAGCCUGAUCCAGCAAUGCCGCGUGAGUGAUGAAGGCCUUAGGGUUGUAAAGCUCUUUUACCAGGGAUGAUAAUGACAGUACCUGGAGAAUAAGCUCCGGCUAACUCCGUGCCAGCAGCCGCGGUAAUACGGAGGAAGCUAGCGUUGUUCGGAAUUACUGGGCGUAAAGCGUACGUAGGCGGUUAUUCAAGUCAGAGGUGAAAGCCUGGAGCUCAACUCCAGAACUGCCUUUGAAACUAGGUAGCUAGAAUCACGGAGAGGUUAGUGGAAUUCCGAGUGUAGAGGUGAAAUUCGUAGAUAUUCGGAAGAACACCAGUGGCGAAGGCGACUAACUGGACGUGUAUUGACGCUGAGGUACGAAAGCGUGGGGAGCAAACAGGAUUAGAUACCCUGGUAGUCCACGCCGUAAACGAUGAUAACUAGCUGUUCGGUCUCUACGAGACUGAGUGGCGCAGCUAACGCAUUAAGUUAUCCGCUGGGAUCGGNGCAAGAUUAAAACNAAGAUGACGNNGAGAGNGCGACGACGACGACGAGGAGAG